CUUCUUUUCUUUCUAAAGGUUUUUUUUUUGUUAAUUAAUAGAGAGAAUGUUCGGCAAUGCUUUGAAGAUCUCACACUAAAGGUAUUCUAUUUCAGAAAGUCUUACAUUUUAUUUAACUGUCAUCUUGUAACAACAAUGUUUCAAUAGCUUGUUAGACUCUGCCUCACUUGGUAAUGUUCCUGUUGUUAUCUAUUGGAGGGUGAAAGAAUUCCUCGCUGGUUUGAUUGAUGAUAGCCGGCCCUAAUUUAAUUGGGAUUAAUACUUAGUUGAGCGGAGUUGAGUUGCUUUGAUUGGUGAGUGUUCAUUACUUCAUUUAGAACCUACCAGCCCAUGUGUACUUCUAGAAUGGAGCUGUCCAGUGAAUGAAAGGACUAAUUAUGUCCAUUGUAUACUUCUGUUUCAUAAUUGCAAGAGUUGCAAGAAUUUCUGUCCUACAACAUGAUUUUUGCGACCUGAAAGGGCCUUCUAACUGUGUUGCUGAAAUAUAUUAUGAAUGUUAAAUAGUGUCUUAUCAUCAAGAACACUGCUUCCUGUGGUCAUUAAAAAACAUUAUUUGGUGACAAAUGCACCUUAAGUUACCUUUGUUAAAAGUAUGCUCUGCUGCAUCUUAGUAACCUGCUGAGCCAGUCUUGAAUCCACUCAACAUCUGACAUUGCUAUAAUGAAGUUGGUAAAAGCAAAUUUCAGGUCUGAUGUGGCCUAUGAUACUAUGAAUACCAUUAAGCUCUUAACAGCAAUGACACUUUGAACCAAAUAAGUCAACUUGGUUUCUGCUAAGGCUAGCAGUGCUGUUGUCAAGUUCUCUAACCUAAUUAGAAAUAAGCCCACUGACGAUGCAAGUUAUGACAUUAUUCAAUUUUACAAUGUUGGCUAGUGGUCAUUGCUAGGAUGUAUGGUCAUAUAUACCGACUUCAUUUCACUUGUAGGGUAUUGGUGGUAAUAAUAGUACUUCUAGUGUUAGUCUUGACACAAUUUUUUCUAUAUUGUUAAACUAACACACAAAAUACAACUUAUAAACACUAGGCGAACGCUGUUAUAAGAUGAAUGCUAGUAAUAGUAGCCAAUGUCUAGCAUUAUAUUCCUAAAUUAAUGCCACUUCAUGAAUUGUUUUACAGUACUACAUCUAGAAUGGCAUUAAGAGAAUCUUUUCUUCAUCUUCAUGGCUUAUAUUUAAUUUGAUGUUUACACAUAUUUUAACUGAGUUUAAUUAGUUACAGAUACUUGAGGUUCCAAGUUUAUUAGAAAAUGGAUCCUCAGUUGUGAAGAAACAAAUAUUACAACAGAAGCAGGUGUACUCAAAAAUUCAUAGUGGUGGUUGCUGCUCUUGAUGUAAAUGUUGCAUGCCAAGGUACAACACCAAAAACUACAACUUGCUGCAACAAAACAGAAGACCUCAAGAAGUGGCAGAAUUGUUGUUUGAUAUAGUAUGUUGUGAAUUUUGUAAGUUAUUUUUUAUUAUGCUCAGAAGACCUCAAGAAUGGUCCUUCCUUCAUUCCUACACCUUUUGGAAAAAGAUGGUGGAUAAAUGGAUGGAUGGAGAAUGAGGGGAUGGUACUAGCAGAGAUGAAGAGGACAACUCAAACAAUAACAUGGAGGUCGAAAGCAACUUGGAGGAUGACCUAGAGGAAAACUAAUAUAGAUCUUUUCAUAAUUUUAGUUGUUUUAAAACAAUAUUUUUAUGUCAUGGUUUAAUUUCAA